AUUAAACGAAGAACACGCAGACUAGCAAAAACUUUGCCUGGCAGACUAGGUAGAUUAUUGUUCUCCAAGAUCAACUCGUCAACUGGUCGAUCUAAAUAAUGACUCACUGCCUUUAGGCCCUCGAGAACUUUUGUGUGACACUUGCCAUAUUUGAAUCUCCAUGUCACGAGUAGAACAUCUACAAGGUAGAAUCCUCUCUUGAGUAGGACACCCGUACUCCGAAUUUAACUGAGCAUCGACACUGAUAAAGGAUAACAGUGUCAGAAAGCAGCCAGUUAUAAAGACGCCUCUAUCCCACGGUAAUUUAAUCAUAGCGCAUUUGGAUCUUGGUCUACGACCUCAAACACCAGUCCCACAUUUUCUAAAUUUGGAUAUUGUAACUAAAUGUUAACUGUCUUUGUACAUAAACCGAAGAACAUGCUGUAUAUAUACAUGGUGUCGACACGUCACGGUCGUAGACGACAAAAUUAAUGUUUCAUACCGUAAGCUUAAAGUUAAAGACCGCUAGGAAAAUCUUUCCCCGCGAUAAUUACUGUCACCCGAAAUUGCACGACACGGGUAUGUCUUGAUUAAAUUGAUAAAGCAUUUGUAUUAAUCGCAACAACGUAUUAAAACGUUUAUUUAUUUCACGAACAAUAGUCAAAUGCUCUUAUCUAACAUCUAAUCAUCAAAAGAACAAGAUAUUUGAGUAAGUAAUUUAAGAGAAUCGAUACGGAAGACGAAAGUCUUUUUACUCUAUCUGAUAGAACGAAAACAAAGGUUUUCUUCGAGGAUAGUGUUCACGGGUGACUACGUGUGUUUCAUAAUGCGCCUUCCGUAAGUAGAAACAAUCGAACGACCUAAAAAUGCAUUCGGACGUAAGGAAUGUUGAUAUGAAGCAAUUGUUAAUUAAAAUAUUUAAUCAAAAAAACUGUAUACGUGUAUACAGCCCGUAACCAUAUGUUUUGUUGAAAAUUUAAGGGAGCGCGUCAGAAUCCAGAUAUACAGGUCGUUACACUCACGUGAUUACAUUUGCAUUCCUCUAAACUAGAUUAACCUGAUUGUUACCUGAUAAUACCUGAACCUAUUACCUGAUUGUUAGGAAAUCGGUUUUCAUCGUUCAGUGAGCUUUAAAAUUAAACUAUUCAAUUUGAUCUUUUCUAUGAACAUUCCUCGUUAAAUGAGUCUUCGCGUGACGCAAAUUGCAAACGGUUGACAUAAUCCUUUGUUGUAUAUCCUAUUAGUUACGACUUACAAUUGCGUAUAAUUGAUACAGGUGCAGCAUCUUUUUUAUUAGUUUUUUAUUAGUUAUAAACUUAUAAUGCGUAUAAUUGAUACAGGUGCAGCACCUUUUUUUUUUUUACUGUUAAUGUCCUGUAACUAUGAUUGAACUAUAGUAUACGAUCGUAUAUGAUACCAGUGAAAGUGAUAUAUGUUUCCUCUGUCUCCUUAGUUCUUAUUCUUUCUUAAAUUAUAGCAAGUAAUUUUAUGCAACUUUGAAAUAGAUAGUGUACAUACAUUCUAAGCAAAUAAAAAUAAGAUUGAACGAUGAGAAUCGCAUUAUUUUCGUUAUUUUUAUUAUUUAAUCAAUUGCAAUUUAAAAUAUCAAAAUUACUCAAUUCUUCGUAUCGAUCAUUCCUACCUUUAGAGUUCUCCUAACUGA